rnacentral:rRNA from 1 species
GACGAACGCUGGCGGCGUGCUUAACACAUGCAAGUCGAACGGUGAAGCUCCAGCUUGCUGGAGUGGAUCAGUGGCGAACGGGUGAGUAACACGUGAGCAACCUGCCCCUGACUCUGGAAUAAGCGCUGGAAACGGCGUCUAAUACUGGAUACGAGAAGGGUCCGCAUGGGCACUUUCUGGAAAGUUUUUCGGUUGGGGAUGGGCGCGCGGCCUAUCAGCUUGUUGGUGAGGUAAUGGCUCACCAAGGCGACGACGGGUAGCCGGCCUGAGAGGGCGACCGGCCACACUGGGACUGAGAGACGGCCCAGACUCCUACGGGAGGCAGCAGUGGGGAAUAUUGCACAAUGGGCGAAAGCCUGAUGCAGCGACGCCGCGUGAGGGAUGACGGCCUUCGGGUUGUAAACCUCUUUCAGCAGGGAAGAAGCGAAAGUGACGGUACCUGCAGAAGAAGCACCGGCUAACUACGUG